rnacentral:rRNA from 1 species
UACGGAGGAUGCAAGCGUUGUCCGGAAUCAUUGGGCGUAAAGGGUCCUGAGGUGGUUUGCUCAGUCCACUGUGAAAGUUCAGGGCUUACCCUUGAAAAUGCGGUGGAAACUAGUAGGCUAGAGUACGGUGGGGGCAGAGGGAAUUCCCGAUGUAGCGGUGAAAUGCAUAGAUAUCGGGAAGAACACCAGAGGCGAAGGCGGCGACCUGGACAAGUACUGACACUCAACUACGAAAGCGUGGGGAGCAAACAGG